rnacentral:rRNA from 1 species
AUUGAACGCUGGCGGCAUGCCUUACACAUGCAAGUCGGACGGCAGCGGACCUUCGGGUGCCGGCGAGUGGCGAACGGGUGAGUAAUGCAUCGGAACGUACCUUUCAGUGGGGGAUAACGUAGCGAAAGUUACGCUAAUACCGCAUAUUCUGUGAGCAGGAAAGCAGGGGAUCGCAAGACCUUGCGCUGAUUGAGCGGCCGAUGUCAGAUUAGCUAGUUGGUGAGGUAAAGGCUCACCAAGGCGACGAUCUGUAGCGGGUCUGAGAGGAUGAUCCGCCACACGGGAACUGAGACACGGUCCAGACUCCUACGGGAGGCAGCAGUGGGGAAUGUUGGACAAUGGGGGCAACCCUGAUCCAGCCAUGCCGCGUGAGUGAAGAAGGCCUUCGGGUUGUAAAGCUCUUUCGGCCGGGAAGAAAUCGCACGGGCUAAUACCCUGUGUGGAUGACGGUACCGGAAUAAGAAGCACCGGCUAACUACGUGCCAGCAGCCGCCGUAACAC